GUAGGGAAUCUUCCACAAUGGACGAAAGUCUGAUGGAGCAACGCCGCGUGAGUGAAGAAGGUUUUCGGAUCGUAAAACUCUGUUGUAAGGGAAGAACACGUACGAGAGUAACUGCUCGUACCUUGACGGUACCGAGAGAAGAAGCCCCGGCUAACCCCGUGCCAGCAGCCGCGGUAAUACGGGGGGGGCAAGCGUUGUUCGGAAUUACUGGGCGUAAAGGGCGCGUAGGCGGCCUGCUAAGUCACACGUGAAAUCCCUCGGCUCAACCGGGGAACUGCGUGUGAUACUGGCGGGCUCGAAUUCGGGAGAGGGAUGUGGAAUUCCAGGUGUAGCGGUGAAAUGCGUAGAUAUCUGGAGGAACACCGGUGGCGAAGGCGGCAUCCUGGACCGAGAUUGACGCUGAGGCGCGAAAGCUAGGGUAGCAA
rnacentral:rRNA from 1 species